CAACCAUAAAAGACGCCUGUGCUUGGAAACCACAGCCUGUGCACGUAUCCCCACAAAUGGAUAUAUUUUAACCCCCACUGGCGAUUCUUGUUCACCUGUAAACAAAGGGAAUGCUGGUUAUGUGCGAUUCAUUGACUAGUGUGGUUUUGGAGGGCAAGUAUGUGGUGAGGAGACGGAGAUGACACUGACAAGUGGAAAUGCCAUUCCAGGAGCGCAGAGUGCGCCUAUUUGGCAUCAUAGCGGCACAGCUAGAGGAACUGCUCCCUCACAGGUCGAGUGAGCCAGGCUUGAUCCUCAGGUGCUGCCUGUGUGAAGCUUUCAGCAUCCUGCAGUAACCACAUCGGUUUUCUCCAGUUGCUUGGGCUUCCUCCCACAUCUCAAAGGCAUUCUGCUAGAUCUAAUAUCUAACAAUCUUGAAUAUCUAUUACUUCAAAAACUUAAUCUUCUAAUUGAUGCCAGCAAAACUUAAGAAAAAGAAGAAGAAAUGUGCGUUGGAUUAGGCUGUGGAAUUGUUACUUUUCUUGCACUUCCUUUGUAGCUUUAACUUCCCCAUGCUUGCUUGUGUUUUUAUGUAAUCACCUCUAUACAUGUGAACUUUCCCGAAAGUCCAGUGCAGUUGCUUUUGUGUUUUUCUAUAAGCUUCUUAGUUUUCUGUAGCAGGUGUCACUUAAAUCUAGUCAAUUUAUAGAUUAAUUUUUAUCACUGGAAUUUUGUUAUCUCUAGUCUGAGUAUUUAUUUAUACAUAUGAGCAGCACUGCCCAACAACCCACCUAUUUAACCCUAGCCUAAUCACAGGAUGAUUAGCAAUGACCAAUUAACCUACCAACCAAAUUGUCUUCACCCUGUGGGAGGAAACUCACACACUCAUGGGGCGGCCAUACAAAUUCCUUACAGAGGACGCUGGAAUUGAACUACAAACUCCAAUACUGUGGGCUGCAGUACCAUUGUACCAUGACUCCCUUUUCCUUGGUCUCUUUUCUUUGAUUCCUUGU